AGCUCCAAUAGCGUAUAUUAAAGUUGUUGCGGUUAAAAAGCUCGUAGUUGGACUUCUGUCGGUCAGCGGUGGUCUGCCCAUGUGGUUGGUACUCACCGUGUCGCCGGCAUUUACCUGGGGAAUAUAUCUGCACUUCAUUGUGUGGUGUACGAUCCAGGUCAUUUACUUUGAGGAAAUUACAGUGCUUCAAGCAGGCUCACGCUCUCUGAAUACGUUAGCAUGGAAUAAUAGCAUCGGACCUUCAUCCACAGCUGUUGGUGUCUCGGAUUUAGGUAAAGGUGAAUAGGGAUUGUUGGGGGCAUUCGUAUUUAACUGUCAGAGGUGAAAUUCUUGGAUUUGUUGAAGACGGACUACUGCGAAAGCAUCUGCCAAAGAUGUUCUCA
rnacentral:rRNA from 1 species